rnacentral:misc_RNA from 1 species
AAAGUCGUAACAAGGUUUCCGUAGGUGAACCUGCGGAAGGAUCAUUACAAAUCCACGUCUCUUAUCGAGACAAGUUGAAAUGUUAGAAGAAUUGUUGUAGUAGUAGUAGUAGUAGUGAAAAAGGAAAGGCCUCUCUCUCUCUCUUAGGAGAAGAAAUGCCUCUCCCUCUCUCCUAUUAUAUUAUUAUUACGUUAUUCUUUCUACCCUUUGACAAGUGUUGAUCAGUUGUAUACUAUUAAAACACAUACACAACUUAUAACAAUGGAUCUCUAGGCUCUU